GUUCAUAAUUCGCUUGGGGAUAAACGGGAUCUGGCAUGUGUUUUCUGCUGCAACUAGCUGGUUUACGGAGGCAAUUACCGUGAUGGAAGUUUUAUGGCGAAUGGGGCUUUCCUGUCCGUCCGUAUUGUGUCCGGAUGUAUAGGUAUUCACGAAAGUACUUAUGGGAUUACUAUGAAAGGCUAGAGCUCUAUCCUAACAACGGGCACGUGUGGGUAUCAAUUCGUCUUCCACACGGAAUGGAAAUGACGUAUAAAAUAGGAAUUGUCAGAAGUCUGUCUAGUCGUCAUUAAACUUAGUCGGAAAACCAAAAUGAUACCAGAGCAUCCCAGGCGUGGUGGUGCUGGAAAGCAGCUUCUCCCUCGUUGGAUGGAGUCGUGUUGCAGUGGCUUCGCAGGAUUUUUGUUUUGUUUUUGUUUAUUUUAAGGUUUAGUUUUAAGUUUAGCUUUAAGUUUAAAAAAAAUUCUCGAAUAAAAUUUAUUUAAUUUAUAAAAAAAAUCAAAAAUUUAGUUUUUUUCUUUUUCUUAUGAUGGCCACAGACUCCAUCUUCUUCUCUAUGUUGCGCAAAAAAUCAAAAAG